UGUUCACAAUCAUGACAUUCGACUAUCCAUGCUCAGGUAUUGGAUUUGGAUCUCUGGUUAUUGUAGAUCAGAUCUACUAUUUUACUUGUUUUCUUGUACAUCAUACAGAUUUUGUUAUUCAAAUUUUUACAUAUAUAUAUACAUGCCAUAGAUCCUUUUGUAAGGUAUUUUAUAAUCAGAUCAUAUGUUUGCAUUGUAGAUUAAACUAUUUACUCUGAAGUUAUUCCACUAUAAAAUUUUGAAAAUGCAUGCAUGAAAUCUCUAUAGUUUUUCUUGAUACAGAUGGUAGGGUUAACAUUAGGGUGAUUAGAUGGGAGGUCGCAAGGUAGCAGAGAAUCAGAAAAAAGACUGUUGGGCCACUCCACGAGAGAGAGAAAGCACCUAGGUUUCGAGGGUGUGAGCAAGACGGGGAGUUCCAUCUUUCUGGGGGUUGUCCUUGGAGGAACUACCAUGACGGUGGGAUGGAUCAUGGGGCUGACUGUGGUAGGUUGAGCCGAACCAAAACUCCCAUUCAGAAUCACCAAGAUCAUUGUUGAAGGAGGAAGACUGAUCGAGAAAGGGUUAUAAAGAAUGGAAAAAUUAACCACAAGCUUAACACGUUAUCGAAAAGCUCCA
rnacentral:lncRNA from 1 species